GUUAGGAAUAUUGGACAAUGGGCGCAAGCCUGAUCCAGCCAUGCCGCGUGAGUGAUGAAGGCCUUCGGGUUGUAAAGCUCUUUAGCCGAUGAUUAUAAUGACUGUAGUCGGAAAAUAAGCCCCGGCUAACUUCGUGCCAGCAGCCGCGGUAAUACGAAGGGGGCGAGCGUUAUUCGGAAUCACUGGGCGUAAAGCGUGCGUAGGCGGCUUUGCAAGUUGGGAGUGAAAGCCCAGGGCUCAACCCUGGAAUUGCUCUCAAAACUGCAAGGCUCGAAUUCGGGAGAGGAUAGCGGAAUUGUCAGUGUAGCAGUGAAAUGCGUAGAUAUUUACAGGAACACCAGUGGCGUAAGCGGCUAUCUGGACCGAUAUUGACGCUGAGUCACGAAAGCGUGGGGAUCAAACAGGAUUAGAUACCCUAGUAGUCC
rnacentral:rRNA from 1 species